GAUGAACGCUGGCGGCGUGCCUAAUACAUGCAAGUCGAGCGAAGCGGGGAAGGGUGAGUAACACGUGGAUAACCUCCUAUACGACUGGGAUAACUUCGGGAAACCGGAGCUAAUACGGAUACUUAUAGCUGGAUCCGCGCCGAAUUAGCUAGUUGGUCAGGUAACGGCUUACCAAGGCGACGCUGCGUAGCCGACCUGAGAGGGUGAUCGGCCACACUGGACCGGAGACACGGUCCAGACUCCUACGGGAGGCAGCAGUAGGGAAUCUUCCGCAAUGGGCGAAAGCCUGACGGAGCAACGCCGCGUGAGUGAUGAAGGCCUUCGGUGCGUAAAACUCGGUUAUGAGGGAAGCGGUACCUGAUCAGAAAGCAACGGCUAACUACGUGCCAGCAGCCGCGGUAAUUC
rnacentral:rRNA from 1 species